UACUCGUCAGUACUGUUCAGACCUCUUAUUUCAUUUGACGGAAUCGUGUCGAGUGGAUAUUCAUAAUAAAUUCACUGACGUGGGCUUAUGUCUUUAAUUUUACAUACUAUACAUAUAUUGUGCAGCAGAAACAAAAAAUUUGUGUUACAUACUCUAGUGCUUUGUUAAAAGAAGAUAAUGACCGUAAACAAUUGCUUACAGUUUAGCCAAUGCUGGUGCUAAAAUUAUUGUAUACCAAACAUAGUUGAUAAUAGCAUCACAUUAGUUUGUAUAAUUUAUAAAAUUCAAUAACAGUGAUACUCAAAAAUUUCUUCACGGAAGAUUGAAAAGUUCAAAAGUGCACUAAUAAUGAAUAAAAUUCAACAAAUUUGAAAGUAACGCUUAGAGUAAAAAUUUUCGUAUGUCAGCAUCAAAUAUAACUAAAACAUCAUUUAAUGAACGCCGGUGCUUUCGAGCAAAACCUGAAGAAGAGGAAUCUAGUUUGGGUAAUGAAGCAGAUUUGGUUAUGAGUUUAUCUCAAAAAGACAUACUUAUACCCACAGCGGCUUCUCAGCAGCAGCAGUUGGAACCACUUUUAAAACAUAAUACAAACGAUACAUCAACACAGAACUCGGUUUCUGCGGCGGCCGCUGUCGCGGUUGCACAUCACCACCAUAGUCUGUCUAGUAUUCAACAUCUUCAGAACUUGCAUACCCAGCAUCACAGUACUAUAUUCAACAACAACCACUCAACUCCGUUUAGUGUGACUGAUAUUCUAAGUCCAAUAGAGGAAUCAUACCGCAAACUGGAAAUAAACGGUAACCCGCCAUCUCCAUUUCGGUCUAAUUCAAGUGGUAGUAGUAUUAACUCCCCUGGAGCAAUUAGUACUUCAACAAUGGCGAAUCCCUAUGCUAUGGGGUCAUUGUAUCAUAGUCCGGGAGUGCAAAGCUAUUGUGGACCUACAGAUAAUUUAUCAUUGGCAGGACACUACACGGAUAUGAGGGGCUCGGCUUCCUGGUAUGGAUCAACUGCAAACGAUCCCAGAUUUGCAAUAUCGCGGCUUAUGAGUUCAUCAGCUAGUGGAUCGAUGGGCCACAUGGGAAACAUGACAGGCUUAGCUGCAUGCAGCGUAAAUGAUGCAAAGCCCCUACAAUUUCCUUUGGCACAAAGACGAAAGAGAAGAGUUCUAUUUACACAAGCACAGGUUUAUGAGCUCGAGAGAAGAUUUAAGCAACAACGAUAUUUGUCGGCCCCUGAGCGAGAACAUUUAGCAAGUCUUAUUCACUUGACGCCCACACAACUUCGCUAGUCGCACGAGAAACCAGAAAAGACCAGAAUUUCGGCAAAAUUUCGCAAAUACUGGAGAUACAGGCCAAUGUAUUACAAGAAAUAAAUACAAAUCACCAGAGGGCAAGUAUGAGAUAUCGUAUGGCUACAUUUUUCGAACAUCGUGUGAUAAUCCCGACUAAGCUUCAAAAAUUGAUCUUGGACUACACAGGGCCCACUUGGGUAUAGUUAAAAUUAAGAGUAUAGCACGCUCUUUCGUGUAUUGGCCAGGAAUCGAUAAGGGCAUCAAAAAUGCGGCAAGAACAUGCUAGUUCUGUGAAAAACAUGCUCCGAUCACUAUCGAGAAUACCGUCAGUUGCCUUGGGGCGCAUUCACAUCGACUUCGCUGGCCCAUUUGAAGGUGUGGCAUUCCCCUUAUCCGAAAUGUUCAAAUGGUAAAAAGUGCGCUUCAGGUAAUGGAAACAACACUCAACACACUAAAAUGAAACGAAAAGGAAUUAUUGCAACAAAGUAGAAACGCACCGGGCAGCACAACUGGUGAAUCUCCAGCGACGUACACGACUGGAUUUAAUUAGACCAGAAACCAUCAAGGAAAAUGUACCAGCAAAAAAAUAUUAAAAAUGCAAGCAAACCGGCAAUUUGAGAUUACAGAAUACAUUCAUUGUUUUAGAAAUUUUUAGAUGUUUGGGGACCAUCAUUAUGAAAUUCGACACAUCAAUAAAUGCCACAAAAGACAUAUCAACCAGACCCGAGAUAGAGGGUUGAAGCAGGAGGACAGCAACAACAAAACAUAGAGGGAAGGAAUCCAGAAAGUACUUUUUACUAAACACCAGUAAACAUCAGCAAAACUAGCAGAUCAGAGACCAAGAGAGUACAGCAUUGGAUCAGAUCUAACUAACGACAGUAGACAGGACAGUCAGGCCGUCGAAAACGCUAACUUCAGUACACCGAAAGCUUCGCGCACAGUUGGAAAUAAAAGUUCACUAAAUCAAGAUGUACUGAUCUCAGCACCAAGGGGAUCGUCAACACCUAUAGAAACACCAAUGCGAACAGAGCAAAGUGUACGUCACUUGACUCGAGUUCAUAACCCAAGAAUGGUAUUCUUACUAUGCUAAUCAUCAGCUGAGAUUAUGCUGUUCCCACAGCUUAUUUGGCGUGGACAAAAAUUAUGUAACACUGUUUCACUCCGAUGAAACUUUGAACUAAUCGAAUUUGAGCGUGCUUAGGGUGCAAAAUUUCAAAUAUCUAAAUAUUAUAUUUCCCAGGAAUAGCGCGGAUAAAAAGAUAAACGGAAAUGCAUGAAUCGACUCGACUAUAAGCUUUAUAUAGACAUAAAAUUUUGUUUCAAAUCAUCAAUAACUUGCUCGUUUCCAUGCAAUUGAUGAAUAUCUUUAUCAAAAUCCUGUUAUUUUUUUUGGCAUUUUUCGUGUUUUAAGAAAUAGAGUCAAUAAAUUUAGUAUGUAUCUUGUAUA